rnacentral:rRNA from 1 species
AUUCCAGCUCCAAUAGCGUAUAUUAAAGUUGUUGCAGUUAAAAAGCUCGUAGUUGAAUUUCUGUUUUGAAAGGCUCGUGCUACUUCGGUAUGCAUCGAUGAUUCUUCUGAACAUUUUUCCAAAACGCUCGCUGCACUUUACUGUGUGGCGUUGCGUUUGGAUCUUUUACUUUGAGAAAAUUAGAGUGUUUCAAGCAAGCAUAUGCUUUGAAUACUGCAGCAUGGAAUAAUGUAAUAAGACUUCUGUCUUAUUUGUUGGUUUCUAAGACUGAAGUAAUGAUUGAUAGGGACAGUUAGGGGCAUUCGUAUUUAACUGUCAGAGGUGAAAUUCUUGGAUUUGUUAAAGACGAACUACUGCGAAAGCAUUUGCCAGGGAUGUUUUCAUCA